UUUUUUUUUCUUGAGGUGAUUGCCUCACAUCUUGGGCAUGAACCAUGAGAGGUUCACCUGGGGUCGAUCGAUCUCGCUCACGCCGUUUGCUACCAGGUUUCUUCGCAACAGCUGUUUUGAAGUUGGCAGCCAGGACCAUGAGCAACGUAAACACGCAAUUGGAUCGAUGGGAGCUUGGAACUUCUCCCCAUUAAUGUGCCGCCAGCGUCUUCCACCGUUUUAUGAAAUGUACUACCCGCUGCUCCUAAAUACAGUACAAGUCUUUUUAAUGAUUUUAAUAUGAACUACAUAUGGAGCAAAAUAAGUGAAUCUACACUCUAAAAUAUGUCUAUAUACAUCUGUAUGUAAUCCUUAUUGAAAUUGAAAUCUCUAAAAAGACAUAUUUUUUUAAGGACGGAGGGAGUACUACGGAGUGUGUAAGUAGUUCCAGUGAUACUUUUCCUGCCCUAUCUGCCGCCAAUGCUUCACUUGUUCCGUGUUGGAAUGGGGCAUAUCUUUCGUUGCCCAUUAGUAUAGACGCCAAUGAGCAAUCAAACUAGUUUCCUCAUCGUAUCCUCUUGGGUUGUGCAGAGUUUGCAGUGAAAAACAUAAUCAGCUGUUAUUUGCAUAACUCUUCCAGUGUGAAUUACUACUACAAUCAGCAAAACUGCAUCCAUGUCAUUAUGGAUUUUGCACACAAAAAAACAUGAUACAGAAGCAUUGCAGAGGGCAGAUAAAACUUGCUAUCCAAAUCAUGGAAACAAAACUCAAUAGCGACAGACAGUCAACAGCAUCUCGCUAGUACAACUUCAGGUUACGUAUAUAGGAAUGAAAAUGCUAAAUGGUGGACGAGCUCCAUGGAGCUCGUUUUUUUGAAAAAAAAAACCCCGGAAAUUAUAGCUCCCAAGUUUCAAAAAAUCCUAAAAAGAUCACACGCGUUCAUACAGAUGUAAAUUUUAAAGAUGAUACUAUAAAUUAAUGGCGAGAGCUUCACUAGUUAGAGAAAAUCGUGAUUCUGAAAAUGGUGAACAUGUUUUGUGUAGCUCUUCAUCGUUAGAACGUGUAGAUUUUUCUCAGAAUAUUUUUAUUCAAAAUGUGUUUUUUGCUUCUUUUUGCUCAGGACAUUAAUAAUAUCCAAUCUAACCCAAAUAUCCAAUCCAAUUCACAGGUCGAUUGGUAUGGAUUUUUUUUCAGUACUACAGUACUGCAAAACUAUCUCAUCAUGCAAAAAAGAUUUUUUAAACAAACAUCAACAACAUAACACAGACAAUCAUAGCACAUGAGAUAAAACCCACUAGCCAGCAGAGUAACACAGCAACAAUAUAUAUCCAGAUCAUGGAAACAAUACUCUUAAUAGCAACUGUUAAGAGAAAGCAACAGCAGAGAAGGAACAAAUCUCGCUAGUACAACUUCAGGUUAUAUAGGACAUUGUAAACAUAGCAGGCAACUUUCCUCCUCAAACGACCAGAGCCUUACAGUCCAUUCCAUCCUUGCCUAACAAAAAUGCAACCUAAGACCUGGGCUUCUCCUUCUUCUCCUUGAAGAGAG
rnacentral:lncRNA from 1 species